AUGCCUUCUGUUGACGAAUGGGACGCGUGAUUCCCCGCCAGCAGGAUAAUCAUCGCGCUGGCGGUACAGAUGAUAAUGGUGUCGCUGAAUACGCCAAUCAUUUGCACAA
rnacentral:sRNA from 1 species